CAAUAGCGUAUAUUAAAGUUGUUGCGGUUAAAAGCUCGUAGUUGGAUUUCUGCCGAGGACGACCGGUCCGCCCUCUGGGUGAGCAUCUGGAUCGGCCUGGGCAUCUUCUUGGGGAACGUGUCUGCACUUGACUGUGUGGUGCGGUAUCCAGGACUUUUACUUUGAGGAAAUUAGAGUGUUUCAAGCAGGCGCACGCCUUGAAUACAUUAGCAUGGAAUAAUAAGAUAGGACCUCGGUUCUAUUUUGUUGGUUUCUAGAGCUGAGGUAAUGAUUAAUAGGGAUAGUUGGGGGCAUUCGUAUUUAACUGUCAGAGGUGAAAUUCUUAGAUCGGUCAAAGGCGAACUACUGCGAACGCAUUCGCCAAGAAUGUUUUCUUUAAUCAAGAACGAAAGUUAGGGGAUCGAAGAUGAUCAGAUACCAU
rnacentral:rRNA from 1 species